rnacentral:lncRNA from 1 species
CUUCAGGCCGUGUUGACCCGGUAGGGACAGAGCCUCCCAGGGCUGGCCAAUUUCUAGAGACAGUAAACUUGCCUGCAGGUGCACCUUUCAAAUGCAGACCCACCAUUUCAGAGCCCACACCCCAACCACCCCCUCUAUUGGGCUCUCACUCUCUGGAACAUUAUUCCUCUGGCUUAAUCACCCUAGGGCUGGGUCCCAGACACCUAGGGGCAGCUCCUAUGCCUCAGAGCCUGUUGGAAUUUUUCAAACUAGCCCAUCCUGAGCCAGACCAUCCUCCCUUGCCUUUCCUGAGGAAACCACAUGAAGGCUCUUGUCCACAUUUCCCCCGCCCCCCGCUCCUUCUUCCUCCCGACUGACCCUGGUGCUUCCCACGUGGCCCUGCGUGGUGUGCCAUGCCUCCUGCUUCUAGGGAACUGCAAGUAUAAGAAAAAUUCUGCCUCAUGACAGUCAUUUCCAUGUCUGCAUGUCUUACCAUACUUAAUUAAAACGAAUCCUGGGUUUUUAAACAGUUUACGUUUCUCUUCAUUAAAGUUCUUCCUGUUAGCCUUGGCCUGGUGUUCCCAGCUGUCACCAUCAUUUGAAUCUCUUGUUGUCUUCUAUCACUGUAUGCAUCCCUCCCAUCUUUGUGUCACCGGCAGAGUUGCUAAACGUCUCCUGCACAUCCAUGUUCAGGUUCAUCUCACACCACAUCCCUACGAGGAGUCUUGAGCCAUGCCUGUCAUGUUCCCCUAGAGACCCCCUAUAUUAAUGCACCGCCAUUAUAUAAGCCAGGCGUAGGGUCAACUUAUUUGAACGCCUGUAAAAUCUCUACAUUUCUCCAUCUACUACAUGAAAGCUGAUCUUAACUGUCCAGUGAAAUCAAGAACACUGGUCUAUAGCCUCACCUUACUCCAUCAACCUAGAGUCAACUUCAAAAAAGGAAAUGGGAUGCAUUUUGUAUGACUUACACUUAGUUGAGCCAUAUGGUCUUCGAGUAAUCGUUAUGCUACUUUUUAAAUGCUUGUGAGAAAUUUUUGCCAAACAUAUUAACCUAUUGGUUCUGGACUUUCACUUUAUCCCGUUUUAAAAAACUGGAACACCCUUUGCUAUUACUAAGAUUUGUCACUUGUUUGUCCCAUAAAAUCUCAAACGUUACUGACCAGAUGUAUGGGGAUCUGGGUAUGUUGCACGACAAUGACACUCCUUCAGAGCAAAGACGCGAUUACUGCAUGUCCCAACAUAAAAUUCCCAACAUGUUAAAAUUAGUCGAUUCUGGGCACUUCUCAGUAUCAUAACCAUGAAUAGCGUUCAUAGUUUAGAGAAUCUGAAAGGAAGAAAAACUAAAACUGAGAAAUAUAAAAUUAGAAGCAAAACUAAUUUUUCAAAGUUAUCUCUAUUUUCUUCAGUCUUUUCCACCACAUCAAACACAGGGGACUAUUUCAGCAUUUCCCAUGAGUGUUUCUUAAAUUAGAAUAUGGAAAGUGUGAAAAUAAUGUGUUUUUAUUAAAGCAAUGAAUGCUGCUUUUAAAAUAAAAUUAGUCUCUAAGAGGACUUGGGAGUUCAUUUUUCUUUUUAAUUUAAUAGCUAGAAACGAGUCAUUUUACUUCGAUUAAAAGGAAAUGAUUAUACUCUGCCUAUUCUGUGCGUUUAUGAGCUUAUAUCGCAUUGGGAGCCUGUAUUUUUCCCCUCAGUACAACAAAGAAAUGUCAAAAAGUAUCUCAAAGUAAGAACUUUUGCAUUAUGCACUUUUAUUUUUAAAAAUUUCUCAAGUUUUGGUUGCUCUUAAAAAUUAACAGCCUUUCAAGAUUUAGCCCUUAUUCAGGAAAAAGAGCUAGCAACCUUUUUUCUUGAUCUGAAACAUGUACUUUUCUCCUUGUUAUUUUAAAAUGAAGAGGCAGCCGGCUUUGGGAGUGGCCUCCACGAGUCCUGCAAAAGAAGCCAGAGGAAUCAGUCAAGGGGUCCCAGUGACAAUAAUUCCACAGGUGCCCCGCAACUGUGCAGAAGAGAACGCCAAGGAAGACUAACCAGGCCAACGGCAUCAAUGCAAGGAACCCAAGGAAGAGAAAAAUCAGCCCCUGAAAUAUCAAUGCUGACCCGAUUUCAAGGCAGCAGCUGAAGCUGAAACACUUCUAGAAAGAGGAAUGUCUAGAGGAGACAGUUCCUAUUGGAAGGGCAGAUCAAAUGAUUCAUUCUCUUCCCUUACUCACCCCUUUCCAAAACGAUGCGUUGGUCUACAGGACUCUUAGGACUGUUAAAAAACUACGUGCACAAUUAACACAGCUGAGAGAGACAGCGAUGUCUGAAUGACCAUACUUUGAAUGAUCACAGUCGACUGGAGUCGUAAGUGUUUAAACGGAUCUAUCAUCCUUGUGGUCAUCUAUUAUCAACUUCCCGACUGGAUCUUGAGACAACAUGGCACUUACUGAGCAAUCACCAUGUGCUGGACAAUGUGCUGAACACUCUAACGCAUCAGCACGUAAACCAUGUAGUAACCUAUGAGGCUGUGGUCAGUGUGGUCAACAGUCUACCGAGGCACAGAGCAGAUAAGCAGCC